UCAAAUGCGCUACCUUUCUCACAUGUCUCUCUUUCUACUUCGACUAAAAAAACAAUAAUAGAAAUCAAAGAAAAGAAAAUGCUUCACUGAAAAUGAAAUUCCCACACAAAAUCUCAACCUUUCCACACUGCAAUCGUGAAACUUCAACCGGAUUUAACCAAAACGUAAUUACAAUCAUGAAUCAUUUAAAUCCUUUUCGAACCCUAAACUUUCAGAUCGAAAAAAUCCACUGUGCCGGUUUCUCUCAGGCCACCGCGAGCUUCAUUUCCUCCAAGGAUUCGAAUAGUGCAUGUUAAAAUCUCCCCAGGUGUUGGAUUUGGUAAUGAAUCACUUAACUGGACCAAUUCCUACAAAGAUUGGAAAUUUAACUCUACUUGUGAACAUGUAGAAGACAUUCAAUUAUGCUAGUGUCACCUUAGUAAACUUUUUUAAUAAUUGUUUGUUAGUAACUUCACUGGCUUGUCCUUGUUCUGGCCAAGGCAUUGAAUCAGAUGUUAGUAGCUUAUAGAUUCUACACUUGGAAUGUUACCUAUGGAGAUAUCUAUCCUCUUGGAGUUAAACAACAGGGUAUAUUGAUAAAUGGACAGUUUCCAGGACCUCAGAUUGAAGCUGUCACUAAUGAUAACUUGAUUAUCAAUGUUUUCAAUAGCUUGGAUCAACCUUUUCUGUUUUCUUGGAAUGUAGUAGAGCAGAGAAGAAAUUCAUGGCAAGAUGGAGUAUAUGGAACAAACUGUCCAAUUCCACCAGGAAAGAACUUCACUUAUGUUCUUCAAGUAAAAGAUUAGAUUGGUAGCUUCUUUUACUUUCCCUCCCUUGAAUUUCACAAGGCUGCAGGUGGUUAUGGUGGCAUCAAAAUUAACAGCCGUCCUAUGAUUCCGGUACCGUUUCCUCCUCCGGCAAAUGAUUUCACCGUAUUGACCGGAGAUUGGUACAGCAGAAAUCACACAGUAAGUAGCUUUGCACUUGCGAAACUAAUGUUCGAGAUCGUUUGAAGUUAAUAUAAUAAUCGAGUGAUCUGAGCCGUCUUAUCUCAAAUUGGUGACUUUUCUUCUUUCAGGAUCUUCAGGCCAUUCUAGACAAUGGAAGUGACCUUCCUUUUCCUGAUGGACUUGUCAUCAAUGGUCAUGGUUCUAAUGCUUUCACAUUCAAUGUAGAUCAAGCCUGAGUUUGUUCCAAGCGAUGGCCACCGUACUCCUCUGCCGGAGAGUCCUCGAGUUCCUAUGGAGUUUCUGUCAAGGCCAUGAAGUACUUCAGCUCUUGAAGUCACAAAGGCUAUUGCACUAGCUCAUUCUCAACCACCUCUUUCAUCAUGCAUGCCAUCAAAUGGUUCUAUUCCUGAAUAAAACAGUAUCUACUCUAUCUCUGAGGAGCUCUCAAUUGUGUCUAAGAAUCAGUUUUCCUUCGCUUCUUCUGCUACUUCACAGCUUGUCCUUGAACGCAUUAUGUCACACUCUGCUAGAGGAAGUGUCACCGUUAACAUCAGGUAGAUUAUCUCAUAGCAGUGAUGGGGGGCUUUAUACCUAUGGAAACAAUGGUGAAAGGUAAGUCUGCAUAUCUUUUUGUUAUUUGGCGUGCCUUGGAAAAAGAGUGCGAGCGUUUGUACUUUCUAGACUCUUAAAUUCCUAAGUUAAUAAUUUAGACAUUGGUCUAUACUUCUUAUCAUGUAUACAUAGAUUUUGAUGUGAAAAUAUUUUAACCUCUCAAAGGUGACUUUGAGUUCAUCAUGGAUGAAAGUAAAGUCGGUGAUUGCAUUUGGAUUAUUUUAGAAAGUACCUGCGGAU